AAUAUUAAUUCAAUCAUUUAGGCACACUAUACCAAGAGAAACAGGACCUUGUGGAAGAAACAUCAAAGAAGACUAAAAUAACCCAAGCUAAGGACAAACAAGUAACUAAGGCAAAGAAGGCGAAGAAAAUGAAGUCUAAUAGCAUAUCUGAUCCAUCCCACCAACUUACUGAAGUGGUUGUCGAGCAUAACAAAGGCAAAAGAGUUCCACAAACACCAACACUCAAGUCAAGGAGUGGCAGAACAAUCAGGCGAAGAAUAUUGGACUAAUGAAGUGAAAGAUUUUAUGAGACUUUGAAGAAACUUUUGUAUGUACUUUGUACAAUUAUCUAGCUAUGACUUUUGGCUCUACUAGCAUUUUGAGGUUACCUUUUGUAUGUACAUUGUAUAUGCCUCGAUGCAGUUUUUGUUUAAUGUGAUAUGUAUAUA